GAACCCAAAUUUGAAUCUAAGUGCCCCUUCCUUCUAACAGAUUUCUUAAAGGGCAGGAUCUUUCUGGUGUGCUUCCACGAUCGUUGGCGAAGUUACCCUACCUCAAAACUGUUGAUUUCACUCGCAACUAUCUUAAUGGAACGAUACCACCUGAAUGGGCUUCUAUCAAGUUGGAAUAUUUGUCUGUCACCGUGAAUCGCUUAUCAGGACCAAUCCCGAAUUACUUGGGAAACAUUACCAGUCUCAUCUAUAUGUAUGCUCUCACUCUCUCUCCAGCCCACUCCCCCUCAUGUGCACACAGGC